rnacentral:ncRNA from 2 species
UCAGAUGGCUAGGGGUGCCCGUAAUGGCGGGCUGAGAAAUACCCUUUGAACCUGAUCCGGUUAACCCCGGCGUAGGGAAGCUGCUUGUAAUGCGU